rnacentral:rRNA from 1 species
GGCCUACCAUGGUGGUAACGGGUAACGGGGAAUUAGGGUUCGAUUCCGGAGAGGGAGCCUGAGAAACGGCUACCACAUCCAAGGAAGGCAGCAGGCGCGCAAAUUACCCAAUCCCGACACGGGGAGGUAGUGACAAUAAAUAACAAUACGGGGCUCUUUCGGGUCUCGUAAUUGGAAUGAGUACAAUUUAAAUCCCUUAACGAGGAACAAUUGGAGGGCAAGUCUGGUGCCAGCAGCCGCGGUAAUUCCAGCUCCAAUAGCGUAUAUUAAAGUUGUUGCAGUUAAAAAGCUCGUAGUUGAAUUUCGGGAUUGACACAUCGGUCGUGCCUUAAGGGGUAUGAACUGGUGUAGUCAAUUUCUCACCUUCUGGAGAACCGCGAUGCCCUUAAUUGGGUGUCACGGGGAACCAGGACCUUUACUUUGAAAAAAUUAGAGUGUUUAAAGCAGGCAUUUUGCUUGAAUACAUUAGCAUGGAAUAAUAAAAUAGGACGGCAUGAUUCUAUUUUGUUGGUUUCUAGGAUCACCGUAAUGAUUAAUAGGGAUAGUUGGGGGCAUUAGUAUUCAAUUGUCAGAGGUGAAAUUCUUGGAUUUAUUGAAGACUAACUACUGCGAAAGCAUUUGCCAAGGAUGUUUUCAUUAAUCAAGAACGAAAGUUAGGGGUAACUACUGCGAAAGCAUUUGCCAAGGAUGUUUUCAUUAAUCAAGAACGAAAGUUAGGGGAUCGAAGACGAUCAGAUACCGUCGUAGUCUUAACCAUAAACUAUGCCGACUAGGAAUCAGACGAUGUUAAUUUUUUAAUGACUCGUUUGGCACCUUACGGGAAACCAAAGUGUUUGGGUUC